rnacentral:pre_miRNA from 1 species
AUGCUACUCCCUCCGUUCGGAAUUACUUGUCGUAGAAAUGGAUGUAUCUAGAUGUAUUUUAGUUCUAGAUACAUCCAUUUCCGAGACAAGUAAUUCCGAACGGAGGGAGUAUAUG